AACGAACGCUGGCGGCGCGCCUAACACAUGCAAGUCGAACGAGAAGCUGUAGCAAUACAGUUGUACAGUGGCGAACGGGUGAGGAAUACAUGGGUGACCUACCCUCGAGUGGGGAAUAACCAGCCGAAAGGUUGGCUAAUACCGCGUACGUUUCCCAGUUUACGGAUUGGGAAGGAAAGCGAUGCCGUGGGUAUCGCGCUCAAGGUUGGGCUCAUGUCCUAUCAGCUUGCUGGNGAGGUAACGGCUCACCAAGGCAACGACGGGUAGCUGGUCUGAGAGGACGAUCAGCCACACUGGCACUGCGACACGGGCCAGACUCCUACGGGAGGCAGCAGUAAGGAAUAUUGCGCAAUGGGCGAAAGCCUGACGCAGCGACGCCGCGUGGGGGAUGAAGGUCUUCGGAUUGUAAACCCCCUUUCGGGAGGGAAGAUGGAAUGGGGUAACCCAUUCGGACGGUACCUCCAGAAGCAGCCGACGGCUAACUUCGUGCCAGCAGCCGCAGU
rnacentral:rRNA from 1 species